AAAUCUCAUUGGCUCUAUUUUCAAAAUAUAUCCAGAAUCCAGUCGUUUCUAUCACCUCUACUGCCACCACCCUGGUCUGUGCUGAAACAUUUGGAUCUUAUCCUUUGUGCAAGGCAGAAUCAUUGAAGGUUUUCCAGAAUUGGUCAGAGAAGUGGGGACACAUGCUUACAGACUAUGCAGUCUGUGAAGACAGGGGCUGCAUAUUUGCUCACCACUGUAUCUCCAAAGCUGAGCCCAACACCUCAAUGCCUGCAUAUAUAGUAAAACUUCACUGAAGAGUUGUUAAAUGAAGAAAGGAGGCACAGUGUGAAGGAAAAGGAGGAGACAAGAAUGAUACUCAGAAUCUGAAUUGUCACUAAGAGAGUGUGAAUUUCCCUCUCUCAAGACUCACCCGAACCUCAGCCUCCCGGGGCCUCCCAUUGAGGUCACACUUG